AUGGCCCACGUGGCGCUGCGCGGCUACCCUGCCGAGCAGCGGACGGGGGCGCACGCCACGGACAACUGCCGCAGGUUCGGGGUCGUGCGCGAGAUCGACCCCGCCUGCGUUGCGGCGCCCGACCUCUCCGCCGUCCAGCUGAAAGUGAGAGUAUUGACAUGUAGGGCAUCAUCAGAAGCAAACAGCAGAGCUCGGCUCGGAGCGCUGUAUUGCCGCAGCAACAGCAGCCAAGGCCAAAAAAGCCACCCUCAGGAUAUUGUAAGAUCCAUGUUGAUGCAGGAGUUUUGGCAGGAAGAGGAGGCUCAGCAGCGGCCAUCUGCAGAGAUGAAGGGGGUAAUUAUAUGGGGAGUUUGGAGUUUGGCACUACUUCCUCCGUUCCUAAAUAUAAGUCUUUUUACACAUUUCAAAUGGACUACAGCAUACGGAUGUACAUAG
rnacentral:rRNA from 1 species